rfam:Otolemur garnettii contig016951, whole genome shotgun sequence.
UCUAGAGCAAAUCUAUCUUAAAAAUUAUUGCAUAAAUGUUUCCUCAAUAAUAUUGAAUGAAAGAGGAAGACUCAAGAUGAAGCAUUUUCCUGAAGAAGAACGGUAAUAUAGAC